ensembl:lncRNA
GAUCUGGAGCACGCGAUGCCCGAGUGCAGCACAGUGGCACAACUUUACGAGUCGAACCGAGGACCGAACACAAAGAAGCAGCUCAUGUUACGACUCAGCGUCCAAGUGUGACUUAUGGGCUCAACGUGAUAAGCGUGAGGCCCGCCGCCUCCCACACUGACAACAUCACACGCGUUAAGUGACCAUUCGCUGCCUGAUCAUCCCCCCCUCCCCCCCUCCCCUUCAUCACCGGCGGAUCGUUGGUCAUCAUUAAACAGGAGCUGAUGAAGACUGCAGGCGGCGACGUGACCGACAUGCGCUCCAAUUAGAGGGUGGUGCGCUGGUGAAAUGGCUGUUUGAAGACACACACUGUUAAAAAUCAAAGGACAAACUACACACACACAUACUCCUCCACCUCCUCCACCCCUUGCUCUAUUAAAUUCUUCCUCUCUCUCCAUUUCUGUCAUUCCUGCACACACACACACACACACACGCACACACCAGGGGGCCCACCUCUUCCCCCACUUUCAUUAAAUCACAAACUGUGGGCCAAUGGGGGCUCUUUGCCAUCGUUAAUCCAGAUUAAACACAAAUCUCCAGUUCUGACUCACACCCGCA